CCAGCCAGCUAAGCGUUAUUAUUUUCAUAUACUGUAAGACAGAGCAAGAAGUUGACCUGUCGUCUAUCAGAAUAUUCAGCCAUGCAUUGUAAAGCAAUAGUAGCAAAUCUGGCAACAAACUGCUUCAAAAAAUAUCCUGUUUUAGGAAUAUUUGCAUUUCCUUUAUAUACUGAUCUAUUUCUCACAUCAUUUCAGGUUAACAGAAAAAGUCUAUUUUAAGGGCAAUGCUAGCAAACUAUAUUUGUACGCAUGAUUGCUGAAAAUGAAAACUUGUAAUUACAUGAAAACAUGUCAUUUAAAGUGUUGCCCUUUGACUGCCCUCUGCCAUGGAAAUGGUCAGAGUCUAUCUGGAACCUACAAGUGAAGGGAGUUGAAGUUCUAAGUAGACCUUUCUCAAAUCCCUGCAAAUAAGAACCCCCUCUUUCUCUGGUUUGCAACCACAGUGUAUGCGAUGUUAAUCGAAAGCAGAAACGUAACAUAAUAAUUAGUUUUCCAUCUUUUCACUGGGCUACUCAAGCCAAUAUAUAAACUGUGUAUUCUAUGUACAGCUGUGGUUCUCACUCAGAGAGUCAUGUAUCGGAAGGAUUUCAUCUCUAGCUUAAAGUAAUCAAUUACCCCUCUGACUUAUACUCUAUCCCUAAUGUGUCUUGUCUGGAAAACAAGAGUAAACAUUUGAGUUAACUGCUGAGAGUCCAAAUAUGUGUAUCAAGAUACUUAUCCAAUCAUCUGUUGUCUACUUAUCUAUCAAAUAAAGGGUUAGAAUAAUCAUACAAAACCGACAACGGAGAAGAAAUAGUGCUUGUUAGCCAGGUCUCAAGACAUAAAGAGAAUGUGCUCCAGCACAUAAAUUUUUAUAUGAUAAUAUGUGGGAUAUGUCAGUGAAACUUGAGUUUUGUUCCUGGCUACACGAGUGCAUGUGUAUAUACGUACCGUUCACAUACUUAGAAUAUAUACUUAUAUAGAUACAUAUAUCUAUCUAUAUACAUAUAUCUAUACAUAGAUAGAUAUAUAAUUUUUUAUGCACACAUCCUUUAUAUAUUUGAGUUAAACUGCUUCAGGAAUGCCCAACUUGAAAUCCUUUUUUAACUCCCUAAAAUGCAGGAGACAUUAGUUCUUUAAUUUGUAGCUAACAUCAUCUUAAUCAGAAAAGUCACCCAUAAUUUGGUCAUGGCACAUGUGUUGAGCAUUGUUUCCAUGACAACUGUUCUGUACAUACAUACACAGCUACAUGCAGAGGCCAUGCCUCUCUGGCACAACAUUGCAAAAAGAAGGUGGAGUCCAGUGUGCAUAUCUCUGCAUGGUGACCAUUAAGGCACAGUGCAGGGGUG